rnacentral:rRNA from 1 species
GACGAACGCUGGCGGCGUGCUUAACACAUGCAAGUCGAACGGAAAGGCCCUGCUUUUGUGGGGUGCUCGAGUGGCGAACGGGUGAGUAACACGUGAGUAACCUGCCCUUGACUUUGGGAUAACUUCAGGAAACUGGGGCUAAUACCGGAUAGGAGCUCCUGCUGCAUGGUGGGGGUUGGAAAGUUUCGGCGGUUGGGGAUGGACUCGCGGCUUAUCAGCUUGUUGGUGGGGUAGUGGCUUACCAAGGCUUUGACGGGUAGCCGGCCUGACAGGGUGACCGGCCACAUUGGGACUGAGAUACGGCGCAGACUCCAACGGGAGGCAGCAGUGGGGAAUAUUGCACAAUGGGCGGAAGCCUGAUGCAGCAACGCCGCGUGCGGGAUGACGGCCUUCGGGUUGUAAACCGCUUUCGCCUGUGACGAAGCGUGAGUGACGGUAAUGGGUAAAGAAGCACCGGCUAACUACGUG